rnacentral:tRNA from 1 species
GCCUGAGUGGCUUAGUCGGUUAAGCGUCUGACUUCGGCUCAGGUCAUGAUCUCGCGGUUCGUGGGUUUGAGCCCCACGUCGGGCU